rnacentral:misc_RNA from 1 species
GAAACGCGAUAGGUAAUGUGAAUUGCAGAAUUCCGUGAAUCAUCGAAUCUUUGAACGCACCUUGCGCUCCAUGGCAUUCCGUGGAGCAUGCCUGUUUGAGUGCCGCGAAAUCUCCCACCCCUAGCGGUUGCCGCAAGGCGCCGCCGGGCGGCGGGGUUGGUUGGGUGCCGCUGCCUGGGCUUUGGCCCAGGCUCGCCCGAAAUGCAUGAGCGCUUAGCACUCGCACCGUCUCGAGGGAAGGCGGCGGAGCUGGCAUCUGCGCAUGGCAUGAUACGUCAUUUGCUGUGUGGCAGCCCAGCGACCCGAGAGUGUGUGUGCGCUACUACACGCCCUUUCAUUUCUGGUCUCAAAUCAGGUAGGAUCACCCGCUGAACUUAA